AAAGAACAUAAAUGUCUUUAUCUUUCACUAAGGCUAUUUAACAAACCACACGCAACGUUUCGUUGUUGUUCUACCAUUCCUUGAUCAGCGAUAUCGAAAUCGCACAUAACGUCGACUAUUACAACUUCCCGAGGAUCCAUAUAAGUAAGGUAAGAAUUUCACUGAAUUGAAAAAAGCACUGGUAAAGAAUUGUCGUUAAUUAAUAUAAUAUAAAAUAUAAUAUAAGGUAAUAUAUAUAAUGAUGGAUUUAAUAUGUUCUGCAUAUGCGGGCUGACCAUAACUAUCAGUAGGAAUCGUGACCAUUUUAAAACGAAAGCUUCACGUAUUGUGUUAAAGCUUGUCUAUAAGGCAAUUGCGAUAAAACUAGAAAACACGUUAAACCUAUACAAUCUUGACAGAAAUCCCGUGGACACUGCAGAGGUGUAAAUUAAAGUACUACUGUUGGCAUACACUUGUUGGCGUCAUUGUCUCCCUCUCUACAAUGUUGGUCGUGACAUGCGCUUUGCAAAGCUUUCACCUAACCAAUGCACUGUAUAAACUUUCAACAUUGAACCCGGGGGAGGGGGAAUUUAAACAUUGCUGUUUUUCACGUAGGCUAUACAGGGCCGCCGAGAGGUUGGCGGAGGCCUGGGUCAAAUUUUUUUGGGGGGCCCCCUAAAAUUUUUUCCGGAAAAAUUUUUCCUGAGAACAACCCUCCACUUCGGCCCCUAAAAAAUUUCGAUCAGUUUUUUACCUGAGUAAACAAUUUUUCCGGACGAAUACGUUGCUAUUGCUUUCCAGGGACUUUAUCUCAUUUUUUUAUGCCAAACUUCGGUACUUAGCCGAAGAAAACAGAUAUAUUGUCCUUUGCCCGGAAAUAUUUAACACACAAAAAAGACUGGGGCCCAACAAAAAUUUUUCAGGGGCCGCCAGCACCUCUGGGCCCGAUGCAAUUUGCCUCCCCUGCCCCCCCCCCCCAUCUCGGCGGCCCUGAGGCUAUAUAUUGGCCAAGGAUGACGUUUCUGCCUCCGCGCACGCUAUCCACAAUAAUUUUGCCAGGAUCAGUGUAGCCUAAUGUGAUUAUUCAAUGUAAACUUCGUAUUCUCAUGCUUAUUAUAAUUCUGAAAUACGUUUUGUCUAUGAUGACGAUGUUCAGCCUAAGAAACUUCCAUAUAGGUGUGAUCUUUGUAGUAAAACACAUUUUCAGUUUAAAUUUAUACUGAAGAACUACUUUUCGUCGACGUCACUUGCACUAGAUCAAGUGCUGCCUGCAUGACAAUGACAUAUAAGAAAGAUUGAGAAGAACGUCAUGACUUGGUGUCAUCCAACACGGACGGAAAGAUACGUUAACUUCUUAAUUGUCGUCUGUUUCCGAAAAAACCCAUCGCUGACAUGGUAUCGAAUUGUUUUUGAACAGGCUUCUUCAUGUUUUAGUUCAAAUUUUGCUUUAAAGAGGAUUUUUAAAUGUAUAAAAAAUUCCACAUGAUUGGCAGCAAUGACCCCAUUUCUCACUAGAUAGGGUAUUGCAAACUUUAAACGCCGACGGCCAGUUCAGAAAUUUUCUCAUGACUUCAUCCUGUAACUAUAGUUUUCAAAAAUUUCGUAGCUGAUUUUUAAAGAAAAUUGUCGUCAUGCACGUGACCUUCAGAGCAAGUCGGCUAUUAAUUUCGCCAAGCGCGUAUAGGGCGACAUCCACAGGGGUGUUUGCAAUCGUGUUUGUGAAAAAGCUAACGUACCGAAAUACCUUUCACCGUUGAACAUGCACCCACAAUAUUCUUCCGCUAAAACUAUCAAUGGAUCCGUGAAUUCAUUGUGUUUGAGUUUGUCGUAGAGAUAUUUCCAGCUCUACUUUCAAUAAUUACGUGCGAUGCUUUAAUCCAAAAUCUUUCCCCGUGUCCGUUUCAAAGUUCUCGCCGACAUUUAUUUUUCUUAAAACAAGCACAGUUUUUGAGUUUUUAUAACCUGAAACACUGUGAUUGCCAAUACUAAAAUGUCUGGCAACAUAUGCUGGCAGGGCGUGGUGAAAAGGGUCGAGACAACGAGAACUCGUUGUGGGCCCUUGCCAUCCUGGGCCCCUAAAAUAAAAACACUCAGAUUUUUUCAAACAUUGAGAUUUUAAUUUUCAAAAUCAAGAUCAAGAUACUGCAUUUAUAUUGGCAACGAAAAGUUACGAUAUGCACGGAAAAAAAUUAGUAUUUCCGGAAAAUUGACGAAACGUCAUGAAAAAUUUUUGCAUUCCAGGAAAAAGUACGAUAUGUGCGGAAAAUUUUUAGUAUAUCCGGAAAAUAUUGGCGACCUCCCCCCGCUCGCCCACAAUUUUUGGAAAAAAUAUUAAUAUUGAGCCAUCGUUUACUGGGCGCUAUCAGAUGCUGCUCAUUCGUUGUCUUUUUUAAGACGCCAGCACGUCGCUGUAUCUGUAUGCUGGUUAGCAUCGCUGCCAAUUACUGCACGCCAAUGCUCACCAAAUGUUGUCCUCAACGUUCUUCCAGUUUCCCCGAUAUAAAGCAUGGCACAUUUACUGCGUGAGAUGCAGCAGAUGAGAUGGAAGGUGCACGUGAAAUGGUGCUUGACAUGGUAUUAAGAUUUUGGUGUCGAAAUAGUAGUGGCAGAAUAUAUCUAUAAACUCACGGGCUUUACUCUGGAGCAACCGACAAGGAGACGUGCCACUAUGUGACGAUGAAUCCUGUAGUUGGGAGCUAUCAACUAGGGUUUCACGGAUGUAUUUUUGCUGUGUUGACAUGAGACUAACGUGUUAUCGGAGAAAAUUGAAAAUGUUUCAAAGCCGUUUCUCAAGAUAUGGAAAUUCCUCCGAAUACUGAAUAUCUCUAACUUUGAAUUUGAAAGGAUGACUGUGACAUGUGGGUGCCUUGGUAGUCAGUUUCAUAUCAUUCAGUAUCAUGAUUUAUAUCGUAAUGAAGCCCAACAAGUAUCGAGAACACCACUUUUUACAAUAGGGUUGACAGGGACUUGACAUCCACUCAUCAAAUUAGAAUUUGUAACACUGUUCGCAUUCGCAACCUGACAACCCAGGUUGGCACAUGUCUCUGCCUAUGGCUAUCCAACGAACGUAUCUCCAGUUCCUGAUCUUGAUCGUGUCAUGGCACCCUUGGUUAUAGACAUAUCAUCCCACAUAUAUAUCAAGGAUACCAAACAUGCUCUGCAAAUCGUUAAAAUCAUUCAGUUUCAUGGCACUCACUAAUUCGUUUUGACCAUGGAUGGCAAUCCUUGUACGCAGUAAUUCCGCAUCAUGAUGGUUUAAGAGCCCUCCAAUCUCGUUCCUCGAGCCUGCGAUCCUCGGGAAGGAACGUGAGGAUCUGGAAUAAUUGGUUUCAGAGAGGAAUCUGAUUGGCCGUUGAUAUGGAAUGCGCAGUUCGGUCUCAGCCAGGAUUCCUGGCUUGCGGCAACGAAUUACCCCAGAGCCUCACCUUCCUUCCCGAGGAUCGCAGGCUCGGGGAAUGAGAUGAGAGCCCUCAAAUUCUUUGAAGAUAAGCGCGUAACCAAGAACCGUCGACCGCUGUUUUGAUCCGACUGAUUUAGUGCUGUGUUAUAAUUUCCCGUUAAUAUGUCAUUUGCUAGCGGUUACACUGAUAAUAAACAAAAUUGCAAUAAAUUACAGAAUCAGCAACAUGAAAGUGUUUUAAGUUUUAAAUAUAAUUUAGCAAUUGCCAAGCGUUAGCAACACCCCCCAUCCCGACAGUGUUGUUAAUUGAAAAUGUGAGCAUUACAAAAUAGAAUGCAUGAUGAAAGUGAAUUGUUAUUUGAUAUGCAAAUUGUUACGUUGAUAUAAGCCCGUGCACGCUUGCCUGAGCUUAUACGCAGCAAUAUAUCAAGUAAUGUUGUUGUCUUGUCAGUUUCAGCUGUAAAAUCGUGCUUAGAAUUGGAACUGCUUAGGACUACGAACUUUAUUUUACCUUGGAGUAAAUUGAAUUAUAUAAUAUUGACAGAGUCACAGGUAAAGUUUCCAAAUAAUGUUCUACUGUAUGAUAAUUUACUACUAUGAAUCUUACAUGGACAUGCAUGAAUGCUGCAAGUAUAUUGUAACAAAUCGGAAUUCUUAACAAGCUUACGAGUUAUCUCAUUUUUUAACUAAAUUAUUUCUUAGUCAAGCUAUCCCUUCUUCUUAGUUUCUGAUUAUUUUCAUAAUUUUAAGUAAACUGUAUUUAAUAUUUGUGCUUUGACUGGGCCGUAUUUUUUAACCAGUUGUGAAAUGGCUGAGUCAAGGUGUGCUAGUACUGUAGCUUAGACAUCGAAAUAAACCAACUUACUUAAAUCACACUUUUGAGAGAUGGGUUAGUUUAGCUAAGUUAAUUGUAUCGGAAUUCAGAUAUGAAACAAUGCAUAACAAUUAAACCUUAUAUCACUUUUCACAAAAGUGUAAAUAAACUGAUUGAAAUGGACAAUAUUAUCCGUUUAUUUAAAUAAGGAUUGAAUUAAUAAAUCAUGUGAAUUUGCAUUAGAACCAUGCUAAAAUCGCAUGCCAUUUAUGUAAAUUUAGCUUGCUUGUAUACAGACUGUAUCAUGCUGUAAUACAGUCCAUGAAAAUUCAGGGCAUUUCUUGUCGAUCCCCAGUAGCGCUACCCAGAUUUGGGUAGUUGAUUCUGAUUGGUGACAACUGAACUUUGCUGGACUUAAAUAUCAACGAACGUUGGACUUUGAUCUUCAAUGGCUAAAUAAUAUUUUCUGUAUUGAAUUCUAUUUGGGGUUUCCCCUGCAUCUUGAACUUACUCAAAUACAUGCCUGGACUCGUUGUAUAGACACUGUUUUAAUCGGCGCCUAAUAUUUUGUAUUAUGGAAACGUAUUUAAUUAGUCAUUGGUAACGACAUUGGUUUGUACAAUGAAGAGGAUUUUUCUUCUUUCAGUUGGGGCUUAUCACUGCAACGUCACUCUUCAGCGGUUCGCCUAGCAAGUACCAACACACAGUAUUUAAUAAUUACUUAAAGAAUGCAUGUUUCUGAUCGAGCCGUCGUCCAUAACCACUAAUAGACAUAUUUAAAUCGAGGACGCGGACAUCAAGGACGACGUGAAAAUGGCGUCGAAAUGGCGUGGAAUAUCCAUACAUGGGCAAAACACGCCAUUUUCACGUCAUCUUUGACGUCCGUGUCCUCGAUCUAAAUCUGUCUAAUAGAGAGUUUAGAUCUACGUCGCGACCGGCUCAACGACGCGUUUUCGAAAAAAUUUGUCAUGCAUGCAAGACAAAAAAUGUGAAUAAUUUAUGGUUCUAAACUAUUCUCAACGGCUUUGUCAUUCUCAACACAAUGUUAAACCAAACAUUAUCAUGUCUUUCAAGCAACGUGAAAGCUUGUGGAAACCCAUUGGUGUUACUCGAAUUACAGCGGGCAUUGCAUAGCUUUAGCCAAUCGAGCUUAGCCGCUGGUAAGGUUAUUUAAAAAUAUUUCAAACAAACAGUGAACAAAUUAAUUGCUUAGCGCUCAUUCUUGAGCUGAAAUUCAGACCACAUCAUUGAGCCGGCCGCGUCGUAGAAAAACGAAAAUUAGCUGUACAGCUUCUUCUUGAGGUUUCUAUAAUCAUAUAAAGGUAAGAGUUCAGCUAAUUACAAAAAUAUUUACUGGUAAAGAAUUGUCGAAAAUUGUCUCUCUUCAAUAUGAUAAUGAUAUUUUUAUAUUGUUCAUCGAUAAUGUAGGAAUCAUGGCGAUUUCAAAAUGAAAGCAUGCAUGAAUAAUUAGGAAACUACAGUCAAUAUUCAAUGUCUUUCCACCUUCAGUGACAUUGAAAAGUUGUCUGCAGGUGACGUAC